rnacentral:rRNA from 1 species
UACGUAGGCCGCGAGCGUUGUUCGGAAUUACUGGGCGUAAAGAGUGUGUAGGCGGUGCUCUAAGUUCGGUGUGAAAUCUCCCGGCUUAACUGGGAGGGUGCGCCGGAAACUGGAGUGCUCGAGCGUGGGAGAGGAAAGCGGAAUUCCUGGUGUAGCGGUGAAAUGCGUAGAUAUCAGGAGGAACACCUGCGGUGUAGACGGCUUUCUGGACCAUUGCUGACGCUGAGGAGCGAAAGCGUGGGGAGCGAACAGG